AAGCUCGUAGUUGAAUUUCGGGGUCAGUAGGUUGGUCGUGCCACCGGUACGUACUGAUCUCACUGAUUCCUCCUUCCUGAUGAGCUGUAAUGCCAUUAAUUUGGUGUUGCAGGGAAUCUGGACUGUUACUUUGAAAAAAUUAGAGUGUUUAAAGCAGGCUAACGCUUGAAUACAUUAGCAUGGAAUAAUGAAAUAGGACGUUCGAUCCUAUUUUGUUGGUUUCUAGGAUUGGCGUAAUGAUUAAUAGGGAUAGUUGGG
rnacentral:rRNA from 1 species